rnacentral:rRNA from 1 species
AUGGGAACGCGAAGAACCUUACCUAGACUUGACAUCUCCUGAAUAGUGUAGAGAUACAUGAAGCCCUUCGGGGCGAGAAGACAGGUGGUGCAUGGUUGUCGUCAGCUCGUGUCGUGAGAUGUUGGGUUAAGUCCCGCAACGAGCGCAACCCUUAUUACUAGUUGCUACCAUUAAGUUGAGCACUCUAGUGAGACUGCCCGGGUUAACCGGGAGGAAGGCGGGGAUGGACGUCAAAUCAUCAUGCCCCUUAUGUCUAGGGCAACACACGUGCUACAAUGGUGAGUACAGAUAGAUGCGAUACCGCAAGGUGGAGCCAAACUCUAAAACUCAUCCCAGUUCGGAUUGUAGGCUGCAACUCGCCUACAUGAAGUUGGAGUUGCUAGUAAUCGCGAAUCAGAAUGUCGC